rnacentral:piRNA from 1 species
UACCAUUGUGAAGGGCUGAGGUAC